rnacentral:rRNA from 1 species
UACGUAGGUGGCAAGCGUUGUCCGGAAUUAUUGGGCGUAAAGCGCGCGCAGGCGGUCCUUUAAGUCUGAUGUGAAAGCCCACGGCUCAACCGUGGAGGGUCAUUGGAAACUGGGGGGACUUGAGUGCAGGAGAGAAGAGUGGAAUUCCACGUGUAGCGGUGAAAUGCGUAGAGAUGUGGAGGAACACCAGUGGCGAAGGCGACUUACUGGACCGUAACUGACGCUGAGGCAUGAAAGCGUGGGGAGC